rnacentral:lncRNA from 1 species
GAUGCCAUGCAUGAUGCGAUGAUGCAAACUAAAUGACGAUGCAACAAACGAAAAAAUAACCACACGAGGAAACGGAAAGAAAGGGGGAUCUUCUGGGGCGUCGGCAUCGGGCCGUCACAACGCGUUUCUAUGCAUAUGGCAAGUCAAAUCACUUCAAACAUGCAUGCAAGUUGCAAAUUACGAAUCUACGCGAAAAACUAAUCAAGUUUCAUAUACAAUACGUCGCGAUCAGAUACUCGGUUUAAAAUCUACCGGCGUUUUAAAAUCUAGGAUUUUCUGAAAAUACUAAUUCACAUAAAAAACCUAAACUACUACGG